rnacentral:rRNA from 1 species
ACUCCUACGGGAGGCAGCAGUCGGGAAUAUUGGGCAAUGGGCGCAAGCCUGACCCAGCAACUCCGCGUGAGGGAUGAAGGCCCUCGGGUCGUAAACCUCUGUCGGGAGGGAAGAACGGAUCGUAGGCUAAUAGUCUACGGUUUUGACGGUACCUCCAAAGGAAGGUCCGGCUAACUCCGUGCCAGCAGCCGCGGUAAU